CACCCGUCAUCGGAGAAACCCUUCACCCACAAUAAUCUCGUAAUAAUUUUACCGACCGUCUGUGUAUCGAGAAAAGCUGCUCUAGUGUAAUUCGAGCUGCUUUUUCUUCAUUUCUUUUUACCAUCCCGUCGGGACAGAAAAAUAUAAACUGUAUUAGUGUAAGGGUGUUUGUAUAUGUAGAAAAAAAUAAACGGUCGUGGCACUAUGGUAUCCCGAAGUGUAUGGUGAGUUGAAAAAAGUCUUUGGUAACGUGGGGAAUUCACUGUUUGUAAGAUGAGAUUCGAUCCGAGCAUAGGAUACUCCGAUUCCGUAAUAGCUACGAAUUUUGGCCAAAUUCGUUAAAAACAGAGCCGGCAACGCGUUUCGACAUCGGAACGAAGAAAGAAAAUCAAGAUAUCAAGGAAGUGAAACGAGUUAAAGGAAGACAAAUCCCUUUUGUACAUAUGUAGAACCCUGAGAACGUCCUGAGAACGUCCUGAGAACGAUUCGUUUGAAUCGUCAUUUCGUGGAUGAUUUAUCAUUCGAUCAGCACCUGCCUCUCGAUUAAGAAACGAUAUCAUACAUAUAGCGAUACCGCAGUGGAUUACCAUAAUAUCGUAAACUCGCAACCGUUCGGUCUUUUGAUCGGAAAUAUCUAAUCAUCAUCAUCAUCUUCGUAAGAUUCACUUGAUAACGGUACCGAUAACAUUCCAAUACGUCUAUCUAUCCUGUCACCAUAUGACUCUCAAUAAGAUGCUCGAGACUUUCACGGCCAGGAUUUACUACCACUCCAUGCUUCCGGGUGUUUCGCUCUGUCGUUUACGAAUAGCGCCCUGACGUUUCGUUAACUUUGCAGAUUCUUCGGAAGAAAAGGAAUAGGACACCUGAAGGUAUCCACCAACGACGCUAGAUCAACGGGAAGGUCAAUGAUUUUCCGAGCAGACCGAUGAACUUGCGCCUCGCUCGCACCAUCGUGCACCAACAGAACAACCAUCGUGAGAGAGGAAGAAAGAGAAAGAAUGAGAAAAAGAAAGAGAAGAGGCAAGGUCGUUGCCUAGAUAACAGUUGCAAGGUACAGUUGGCUCGCAUGCUUGAAACUAUGCGACCAGAAGACACGAUCACAGAAGAAGGGAAAGGGUCCUGAGAGAGUUCCUGCACGAUAUACAUAUGUAGAUAUGUAUAAUAAGUUAAGCCCGAUCCGGUCAUGGUCCGGUAUUGGUUCAAUUCAACCGGCCACGUGCGGAUCACUUUUACAAAAAAAAAAAAAAAAAAAAAA